rnacentral:lncRNA from 1 species
CCAUCUGUGUGAACUUUGCACAUUCUCUCUAGGUCUGUGUAGGUUUUUUCUGGCUACUCCUGUUUCCUCCCACAUCCCAAAGGUGUGCCUAUGAGGUGAACUGCCAUGUCUACACAUCCCAGUAUGAGUGAGUGCAGGUGGUGUGCACGCGCCCUGCGAUGGGAGUGUGUCCUAUUCAGGGCUGGUUCCCGCCUUGCGCCCUAAGCUUUGGAGAUAGGCUUCGGCCACCCUCAACCCUGAACUGGAAUAAGCAGAAAACCACAUCUGGUCAGGAGCCCAGUGUGUCCCACUUGGACAAGAAUAGAAAUCUCUCUUCUGGAAUAUGAUCUUCUCUGGUUGGAGCCAAUGGUUUCUUUCAGACCUGAGAUAUCCUGAUGAAGCAGACCACACCUGCCCUCAGAGAUGACCUCAUGAGGAAGCUGAGCUGCAUAACAAACAUCUCUGCUGCUCAGCCACCUCCACUCUUUUUCAACAGACCUUGGAGAUAGCACAGCACCCACACCAAAAAAUCAGGAAGCUCUCUUAUCAGCAAUCUUUCUGUACCUAUGAAAUCAGACAUUCCAGCCAUGGCAGAACCUCCUGAGUGGGCCAGAGCCUCAGAGUCAGGAAAAGCUGGGGCCUAAUGAUGUUUCAAAUCAAAUCACUCUGUAGGGGAUUUUCCAUUUAACAUAUUGUGAUUGUGCAGUAACAUUAGUCUUUGCCAUUUAAUUUAUUAAAUUUUAAAAUCUUAUAAUAUCCUCAACACCGUCUUUGUCUCGAUUUAUACAUAUAACAUAUACAUUUUUAUUACAUAUUACAAACAAUUGAUAUAUAUGAAGAACUCUGUGUGUUUAAAUGCCAAUCACUGGUACACAGGCUCGAGGAAUGUAAUAUCCAGGAUUCAGUCUAGGAAACCAAAGUAAUUCUAGGUACUUGAUUGAAGAAGGUUUAAUAUUUGGAAUUUAAUGUUUUAAAAAUU